CAAAUAUUUAUCAAGCUUGCUAUGAAUGCUGCUUUUAUUUUAAGUUCAACAUUCUGUAUUGUAAGAGGAUAUAGUGACAUUCUUGUUAACUUCCUAUUAGAUGCAAGUUCCUUCUUUACAUACAGUAAAUGCAAGGACUAUUACUACAGACACAAAGUGACAUCGGGAGAACAAAAUGUCCACCUCAGAAGAGACCGCAGUUUACUUAUAAGCUUUUACAAAUACUUCAGAUUUUGGAUUCAUAGUUAAAAUGUGGUAGCCAUUUAAACUGAACUGGAAAUGUCUGGGUUUGUGAAUGCUAGUAUGGACAAAAGUUCAUCGAUGGAAUCAGAUGACAGAAUAGAGAAGACAGUAGAUAUCUACAUCACUGCAGAGGCUGUAAGAAACAUGAAGCAUGGCAAUAAUACAAAGGACUUUAACACUCAAAUAUCAGAAUUUCAAACACCUCAACACACAGGAAGCAAUUCUGUCAAAAACAGAAACUCCAGAGCAGCUCUAGUGUGUUUGGUGCUGCUGUGUUUUCUUCUGCUGACUGCAGUCAUAGUGCUGAGUGUCUUCAUCUAUACAAACAACACAAACUACACUGAAGAGAGACGCCAGCUAAUAACCAACAUCUCCAACAUUACAGAAAAGAGUAAUCAGCUAAUACAUAAAAACACAAAUCUCUUGAAUGAGACAGACCAGCUAAAAUGGAAGAAGGACAAUCUUCUGAAUCAGCUGAAAAUAAUUCUGACUGCUGGUAAAUUGUUUAUUUUUAGUCUAUGUCCUAAUUCUCUAUACAGAAGACAUUGUCAAAAACAUGCUGGAGAAUGUUGUGGUGUAUUUUAGCAUGCACUUAAAUAUAUCAUGACUAUAGUGGCUGAGUGUAAAUGGGAAUAACAAGUAUACUUGUUCUGUUAACAGGUGGAUGGACUUACAAUCAGUCCAGUUUUUACUACAAGUCCAAUGCAUUAAAAAGCUUGGAUGAGAGCAGAAGUGACUGUAUAGCGAGAGGAGCAGAUCUGAUCAUCAUAAACAACUCAGAGGAACAAGAUUUUGUUAAGAGAAUGGCUGGUAGCGCAGUCUGGAUUGGUCUGAAUGACACUGUUGCUGAGGGCAUAUGGACAUGGGUUGAUGGCAGUGCACUGAAUAAUAAGUGAGAAAUCAGAAAACUAAACUAAUUGUUAUUUAAUAAAUGAUUCUCACAGUCAUUAUCAUAACAUACUGAACGCAGCCCUAUACUUCUGAUUUUGAUUUGUAGUUUGAGCUUCUGGGCAUCUAAAGAACCAAAUGGAGGCAGAGGAGAGAACUGUGCUGUGUCUGCUGAAAAAGUGACAGCCUGGCCUUCUUUGUCAGGGUGGGUUGAUGUCUCAUGUGACAGAAGAUUUCAGUGGAUCUGUGAGAUUAAUAUUUCACAACUCAUAUAAAACUUUAGUGUCAACUGACUUACAUGUAAAAUAGUGUUUUUCAUCCUUGAUCCUCAUGGAUCUUCAACUGCUGCACAUUUUAAUAAUUUUUAAUAAUAAUGUUUAGUGCAUUGACUGCUUCUUCUCUUUAUUUUGUUGUUUCACAUGUUUGCUGUUGAAAAAAAAUAUAUAUAAACAAAUAAGCCUAUGUUUUUUCUCAUUUGUGUUUAAUUGAUGAACAUGGACAGA